rnacentral:sRNA from 1 species
AUGGGUUCAGACAAGUAUAUAAUAACAUGUAUUCACCAUUAUAGUAUCAUACGGAGUAUUUUCACUGCCCUAAAAAUCCUUCUGGGCUUUGCCUGUUCAUUCCUCCCCCACUCCUAAUUCCUGGCAACCACUGAUACUUUUGCCUUUUUAGAAUAUCAUAUAUUUGGAAUCAUACAGUAGAUAGCCUUUUCAGAUAGACUUCUUUCACUUAGUAAUAUGCACUUAAGUUUUCUCCAGGUCCUUUUUUGGCUUGAUAGCUCAUUUCUUUUUAGUGCUGAAUAAUAUUUCAUUGUCUUAAUGAACCACAGUUUAGCCAUUCAUGUACAGAAGGACAUUUGUUUGCUUCCAAGUUUUGGCAAUUAUGGAUAAAGCUGCUAUCAACAUCCAUAUACAGGUUUUCAUGUAGACGUAAGUUUUCAACUCCUUUGCGUAAAUACCAAAGAGUGUGUUUGCUGGGUUAUAUGGCAAAAACAUGUUUGCUUUUGUAAGAAGCCAACAAAAUGUCUUCCAAAGUGGCUGUAUGAUUUUGCAUUCCCACCAGCUGUCACUGCUAAUUGGGCAGACCUCCUUUAGAGAUGUCACCAAAGAUAGUGUAAUGCUCUUCACUGUAGGCAUUUAUGAUCUAUAUAAGAACAACAGUGGAUUCUGGGUCAGUGCUUUUAUUUCAUCCUGCCAAGUUCAAGAGAAAGUUUUUUUCUUAUUCUAAGAGAAGACUGUUAUGGUAAAUUAAAAGGAAGAAAUAUAUAAUUACUCUUUUAUUGAAGAGGGGGAAGAAGGAAACACUGUGAUGUAAAUGGCAGAAAUUCAAUAAUUUAAUUCAAACUAAACAGAAUGGGAAUGUAUUGAAUUCAGGAAUGGAAUGUAACGGGAAACUCACUGGUGGUCUUCAGGCGUGGCUGAAUCCAGUGUCUCAAAUGAUAUCAUCAGGAAUACAUUCCUCCCAUCCCUCAGCUCUGUGUUCCUUGGUGUGGUCUUUACUUUUUCCACUUGGUAAUAUGAAUGUCCUCCAAUAUCCUCUUUCCUGCCAGAGAUACCAGAGAAAGGAGAGCUUCUCUGAUAGUUCCAUCAAAAUUCCCAGGGAUGACUCUGAUUGGUCAGCCUGCAUCACAUGACAAUUUUCUUGGUCAAGGAAGUAGGACCAUGUGAUUGACAGUUUCUCUGAGUAUAAGACAAUUUGUUCCUGAAAGAAAAGGGUGCUGGGGGAAAAGGCAACAGAUGUCCACCACAGCAUGUUUUUUUCACUUUAGUGGUUAUUAUCUCUUUUUAGAUUCCCUCAGCACUGGACAGCCGAGACCACGAAGGACUUGGGACCCUUUCUAGUACUUUUCUCAGGAGAUGAAUUAAGCUCUAUAGCCACAAAGUUUCCUGACAUCCUUCUACAAGCAGCUUCCAAGAUGGCCAUGACUCUGCCCCCUAAAGAAUUCCUCUGGGCUGUCUUUGAAUCUGUUCGGAACAGCAGUGAAAAGAUCCCCAGCUCUGACCCUAUACUUGGUUGCCAUGGAGUCGUGGCCCCCUCUUCUGAUGACAUCUUCAAGUUGGCUGAAGCCAACGCCUGCUGGGCCCUGGAGGACCUGCGGUGCAUGGAAGAAGACACAUUCAUCAGGACUGUGGAACUGCUGGGAGCUGUCCAGGGUUUCAGCCGGCCUCAGCUGAUGACCCUGAAGGAGAAAGCAAUACAGGUUUGGGACAUGCCAUCUUACUGGAGAGAACACCAUAUCGUUUCCCUGGGGCGCAUUGCUCUGGCUCUUAAUGAGAGUGAGCUGGAGCAGCUGGACCUCAGCUCCAUAGACACUGUGGCUUCCCUAAGCCGGCAAACAGAAUGGACCCCAGGACAGGCUGAAUCCAUUUUGCAAGGGUACCUGGAUGAUUCAGGAUACAGUAUCCAGGACCUGAAGAGCUUUCAUUUGGUAGGACUUGGUGCAACCCUGUGUGCUAUAAACAUCACUGAAAUCCCACUUAUAAAGAUCUCAGAAUUCAGGGUGGUAGUGGCCAGAAUUGGGACCCUGCUCUGCGGCACACAUGUCUUGGCCGAGUUUAAGAGGAAGGCUGAAGUCGUGUUUGGGGAUCCCACUGAGUGGACCAGUUCUGUCCUGCAGGAGCUUGGGACCAUUGCAGCUGGAUUAACUAAGGCAGAGCUCCGGAUGCUUGACAAGGAUUUGAUGCCAUAUUUCCAGCCAUCAGCAAUAAAAUGCCUUCCUGAUGAGAUAUUCAAAGAGCUGUCCGCGGAGCAGAUCGCCUCCCUGGGUCCCGAGAACGCCGCGGCGGUGACCCACGCCCAGCGCCGGCGGCUCAGUCCACUGCAGCUGCAGAGCCUCCAGCAGGCGCUAGAUGGCGCCAAGACUCACUCCUGGCAGGACGCGCCCGCUAGCGCCAGUCCCACUAGGACCUCAUCCUCGCGUUCUCCCGCAGGAGCUCUCCAGUCAUUGGGUCUUUGGCUUGGUUGUCCCCUGCUGGUUCUAAUGGCCAAGCCCCUGUGGUGAGUGGCGUGAGCGCAUCGUCCUGUGUUGCCCCAAGCAGCUGGCCAACGCGUGUAGAGACAGGAUGCUUCAGAUGGUGGGACACCCUUCCCUGGAUCCAGACCCUCAUCUAGGGCAGGGAGACCCUGGGGCCUUGAUGGUGAAAAUGCACCCCAAAUGAAAAAUAAUUAUUAAAAAUGAUCUUGC